rnacentral:rRNA from 1 species
UACGUAGGGUGCAAGCGUUAAUCGGAAUUACUGGGCGUAAAGCGUGCGCAGGCGGCUUUGCAAGACAGAUGUGAAAUCCCCGGGCUCAACCUGGGAACUGCAUUUGUGACUGCAUGGCUAGAGUACGGUAGAGGGGGGAUGGAAUUCCGCGUGUAGCAGUGAAAUGCGUAGAUAUGCGGAGGAACACCGAUGGCGAAGGCAAUCCCCUGGACCUGUACUGA